UGAGCCUUGUAUAUACCCUCUGAAACUGUCGUACGCAGAUCGAAGGAGCCAACCGACCGAAAGAAAUGAGCAGCUGGUUGAUGAAGAUGAGGAGGUCGAUGCAGAUGCCCGUGGAAGCGGAGGGGAAGGCGGAGCUGUUUUGCGUCGUCUUCAGCGUCCCGUGCCCGGGAGAUCCACCCGUGCAGGGAGAUUAUGUGGAAGAACGUGUGCACCAAAGCAUCAAGAUCUCUGGUUACGUUCUUGACGCUAAAUAGUUCUACUUACAUAGUACUUCUGCAGAGGAAUGGUACGUAGGUAUGGAUACAUGGCUGGCUAUCUAGAAACUCUUUUGCUGUUGGUGUAAUUUCCUAACAUCACUCUCACCUUAAGCCCGUGCACCCAAACCACGUCUCCAGAAACUUCAAUCUGUUCUUAACCCCAAACACAAAUUGCAACGGCGAGGUGUUUAGUUUCUUAGUAGUUGACUGGGAGAAGUUCUUCAUGGCCGAGAUCAGUUCGAACUCAUGAUCUCAUCCAAUUUCAAUCCCAUUUCUUCCGGUUAUCGACUUUGGCUGUCGGGAUUUUUCUUCGUGAAGAAGAAAAUAUCACGUAUGUAUGGCGCGGCCGUGCGGUGGUGAUCGCGAGCUUCAGAGCUCAGACUCCACUCCAGCGACUUGGUCCCUGUUCGAAGACGCUUCCGCUCCCUUCCGGAUCUACAGUUAAAAAAUAAGAGAGCUCAGGUUUUUCAGUUUCGCAGAUUCUAGGAGCUGAUGGAUUACCAAACAGGGCCUUAGUCAACGGCAAGCCACUAGAACGGUGAGGCUGUCACGAUGUUGGUGAGGUGAGAUCGUGUGGAGAUCCGUGCGUAUCCAGUUCAACCCUCCUUUUUCAUCCGGGGCAACUCUCCUUGUAUACGGUCACAAAAGUCAAAAUAAACUCUUGUUAAAGACAGCUUUUUUUCUAAAAAGAGGAUUACCUCCGGCCUGUGCAUCAAUACGAUGCAUGCGAUCCCUUUACAGACAGCUUAUGGCAAGAGCUCUUUUUUUAGUGUUUCAUGCCAAGAGUUUUUUUUUGAGUGUUUUAUGCUAAGAGUUUGAUGAUGAUGAUGAUGAUGAUGUGUGUGUGUGUUAGGAAAGAAACACUUUUAUUUUCACACAAAAUAUUAUUACUUUCUUUCUAAAUUACUUGUUUUACAUUUGUCUAGAUACAGAUGUAUCUAACACUAAAACGUGUCUAGAUACAUCUGAAUCUAGAAAAAUCUAAUGCAAGUAAGUCAGGACGAAGGGAAUACUUAGAAUGAUCAUAGGUCUGGCAUACCAACUUUCUAUAACUUAGCAAAAAAGAACUGGCUGAGUUUACAAAAUUAAUGUAAACUCCAUGUACACAAUCUUCCUUUCUCUUCUAGGAGGAAGGCUUCCUUCCUCAAUCUCUGCCGGUGAACCCGCGGAUUUGCCUCUCCUUUGCUCGUCGCUCCGGCGGUCGGUGGCGGAGAGAAGAAUGAGAAUCCUAGUGUCUCAGUUUCGGCUAGUCGAUAUUAUAGGGUUUUCUCACAAGGAUGUUGUUUUUAUCUUUAAGUCGGUCUUUCGUGCUCUAAUCCUCCUUGAGUGCGUCCGUUGGGGCGGAGUAGAUGCACCUCUGACUUAAAUUCUUGCCAGCACCUUCGGGCGAUGAAGUUAGGAUUUCUGAUCCUACACACAACAAUGAGAUUUGGUGCCUGGUUCUUCAGGCCGAUUCAAGGGUUCAACAAUGAUGACUACGCCCCGUGCGCUGUUUUUUAUGGAUACGUGCACAAAGACUUUUGGUUGUCAUUAGCAAGGUCAAGCUGACUCCAAUACGAGAGCAGGGAUAGUGACUUAUUUUGCCGACGAUAGUGGUUGUUAUGUGGUCUAGAGACCUCGACGUAAAUUUUAUUAUAUUUAGGAUGUUUUGUACUUAUGAUGAACCUUUAUAGAUAUCCACUGAAGACUUACCCACAUAAAUUUUACAAAAUAAUACGAUGAGUUGCAACCUGCAUGAAAAAUGAGGAAAUCGGAAUCCUAACCUGUAUCACUAUCAUUUUCUUAUUUUUACCCAUGUCACAAAUAAUCAUAUUAUUUCACAAACACUUGCUUGAGCAAAUUUCAUGUUUCUUUUUUACGAAACAUUAUUUUUACUCGAGGGCAAUGGUAGGCCCACUGGAAAUCACAUUACGCAUGACUGUAUUUUCAUGGAAUAUGCCUUCAUAUAUUAAUGCAUGGUGCAUAUAAUGAGUAAUAUCAGUAUAAACUUACCUUUCUUAUCCUGGCUUGUAUUCGGUUGACCAUGAUCCUUGAUUGCAGUGAUAGAAGGGAUCUAAUGUAAUUAAUUUCUCGUUGAUCGUACCAUGCGGUAGGUGUAGUCCGCUGUAUGAAGUUGAUGAGUAUUUGAAUGAUAUAGAUUGUCCUGUUAAGAAAAUGUAUCAUUAAUCAUGCUCAUCUUUGUUUUUUGCAAGUGGACUCCAAUCCCUUGGCCCUCCUCUUUCUCCUUGACUUGUUCAUAUAGGAUGUGUGAUAGACGCCAACAAAGUCUUGUUAAAUUAAUUUGAUUGUUGGAAGAUAAGCAAUGGCAUUGACACAUUGUACACAAUCCUAGCGGUAACAACUGAAGAGAGAACAUCGAUCAAGCGUACAAUCUCUUUACACUUGUUUGCGACUAAUAGUAUCCUCACUGCACCAUUCCUUAUCACUAAUAUCUGCUUGUGUCCUAUUUCUUAUAUCUUCAUAUGAUUAACAACGCAGAAUCUUAUUGCCACUUAUGAAUCCUCACAUCAUAAACCUACUACUUUCUGAUGCAGAGGCCGGGGGUUAUCCUCCUUUUCGAAAGAAAAAAAACAUCAUAAACCUACUACUUUCAUGCAUUUAAUUUUUCCAAGCUACUACUAUCAUGAGCUCAUCCAAAACCAUUCCAGAAAUAUUGGAUGGGGAAAUGUGGAUACAAAUGUUUAUUUAUAUGACUAGUCUUCCUAUUGCUAGUGAUAUAUCAACACUAUAUCAUGCAUCAGGCUCAUAUUCAUGAACAAAAUCACGAGACUGAGAUAAAUUAAGUCGAUGCUCUUUGGCCAAAGAGCCAAUUUGCGAAAUUAUGCUAUGAUGAUUUUUUCUUGUGAGUUUAGUGUCAUGUUUGAAAAAAUCAGUUACUAUUUAAAAAGCUACCAAUGUACAUCGUACCACACAGUAAAAACAUUUUUCUAGUAGCAAUAAUGAGAUUAUAAAGCCAUCUUCUAUUGAUCGAUUAUUUUAAGACCAUAUUCUGAAACAGAAAGCAUGUUAAAACAAUUUAACUAAUCAAAUUUAACAUGAUCCACCAAAAGUCAAAUGCAGCUAAGAGCCCUGUUCAAGAAUUCAUCCGAUUAACCAGUUAACUUGCCAAUUAAUCCCCACUCAUAUGGUCACCGAGUACCCGAUAAACCGAAAAAUUGCCCGAUUAAUUGAUUAAAUGGCCGAUAACUUGUCGAUUAGCCCAUUAUUCCCCUACUCGCCAACCAACCGAGCAGUUACCAUUUAACAAUUUCCUCAACAAUGGCUAAGAGUAUGAGUUGGUCACUUAAUUCUCAUUAGUGUCCAGAGAGAAAUAUAUUGCAGAAGACAUUAAUUAUUUAUUUUCCCAAUUAUUUUGUAUACAACUAAAUAUCCUUUCAACACUUAUUUUCAUGUUUGCCUCAUAAAGAAUCUGAACAUUGCUCUUACUAUGACUGAUAUGUCAAUGAGUUCUGACUAUUUGUUUGUGUAUAUCCUCACCGAUAUCAAUUGUAUUGUACCUAUGGUUAUGAGCUGUGGGAAUGUCUUACUAAUGCUUCAGGAUCCAUUAUCCUUAUUUUGUCUAUCUUAACUUUUUGUGUUGUCUAAGUUUUGUCUAUCUUUUUUUUUCCUAAACAUCUCUCCAAGCGCCUACGUACCUUACAUAUCCCAAAUUUUCUUAAAUGGGGGAUGAUUGUUGUCACUUGAGAACAAAUAAAAGGUACAAAGCGGAAUUUAUUUGUCAAUCUUAGAUGCCAAGAUAAGUUACUACACAUUAUGAAAGUGAUUCUGUUCUGGCCUUUAGGGGCUUCCAUUCUAAAAAUAAAAGCAAGGCAGCAAGAGUAUAUAUAAGUUUCCUAUGGAGACGAGUCAUCUAGAUUACUUCAGUUACUGAACUGUGCUCUACCAUGAAUCUGACAUGUAGGUAAAGGAUGAUAUUUGAUCGCCAUUAUAAUAUAGAAGAUUCACUUCCAAGAAUAAUGGGCUCACAUUAAUGACUUCUUGUUGUGCAGCUUGUAUUGCCCUAAAGGAUUUUGAUAAACUCAAAAUGAUGUAUGAAGUGGACUGGAAGGAGAAGCACAGGAUCAUUUUUCGGCACAAAAAGAAAAAUGUCUACGCAUUGCUGUACUCGGGAGACUUACCCGGUGCCGCAAAAAAUGCGAUGAAGAAUGGUUUUGAAACGAAGAUAUCUAAACUAGUCGAUAUCAACUACCACAGCUUUUCUGGUAAAAGCGAUGUGGAGAUUUUGACAAUCAGAGGAGCUAGGCCGGACGGCCGUGGUCUGUCCUGCGACUUCGUCGAUGUACACCAUGCAGAAUCAAUCCUCAGCAGUUACAAGACGUCUCAUGGUGCCGGAGGAAAUGCUGCUAGGGUUGAACCAAGUCCCAGAUGAAAUCUACUAGUCGGGAGCAUUUUUCAUCUUAGGUUCUGUGACUUGGUUCCCGUGGAGCAUGUGCCCGGAACGCAGUUCCCGUGGUGUCCACGGCUUGUGUGCAUUUUUUUAAGAGAGAGAGAGAGAGAGAGAGAGAGAGAGAGAGAGAGAGAGAGAG